rnacentral:lncRNA from 1 species
UGGUGGGAAUGUAAACUAGUUCAACCAUUGUGGAAGUCAGUGUGGCGAUUCCUCAGGGAUGUAGAACUGGAAAUACCAUUUGACCCAGCCAUCCCAUUACUGGGUAUAUACCCAAAGGACUAUAAAUCAUGCUGCUAUAAAGACACAUGCACACGUAUGUUUAUUGCGGCACUAUUCACAAUAGCAAAGGCUUGGAACCAACCCAAAUAUCCAACAAUGAUAGACUGGAUUAAGAAAAUGUGGCACAUAUACACCAUGG